UUUUUUUUUUGUUAAAGAUCUUACUUUAAGUUCUUUAAUUCUAAAAUAGUCUCCUUAAUUUUGGGUUAGUUAAAAAAUAUAUUUUGUUUGAUAAUCUAUGUCUAAAUUCCAAAAAUGACAUGAAUUCAAAGAAUACAUUUGUCACAAAAAUUAAGAAUAAAAAAAACUCAAACUCAAGAUGAUCGAAAUCGUACCAACAGUCAAUACCUCAUCCCAUCAUCAAUCAUGCCUAACUAUGUGUUAUAAAAAAAAGGUUGGAGGAUAUAAACAUAAAAAACUUGUAUUCUGAUAGAGUGUAAUAUUGUUCAAUAUCAAACAUAUCAAAGCUAAAAUACUAUUUGUUUUAUAACUCAAAGUCAAUUUAGUAAAUGGGAUCUUUUGGUUAUAAAAGAAAAAUAGUAAGAUAUUUGUAAAACAAUAUUCUUCACCUCAAGUUCAAAGCUAAAUGUAUAAAUAUCAAGUCAUGUAAUUAAGGCAAAUAAAAAUUUAAAAUGAAUGCAAAAUAUCAUCCAUGCCUUAGUAGAAAAAAAACUCGUUCAUGGGAUUCAUCGAGAAUUAUAUUUGCUCCCUUAUCAAAACCUUUUAGAAUUUCCUUAAAAUGAACAGAAACUCGUUUUAACAAGAAGUUAAAACAACAUUCUGACAUUCACUAACACACACUUUCUUCUCAAACUAAUUUCAUGAAGAUAUUAUAAUAAAAAAAACUUACCACAAUAUUUCUUCCAUCAUUCGUAAUCACUGAAUUUGUCUAUGCCAAAUCAACCAAAAAAAAUACUAGAAUCUUAAAGCAAAAUUACACUUCAUAACAUAGGUCAAAAAGCGAACAUAUGAAAGCAACAUUAAAGAUAAAAUCCCUAUUUUAGUUUCUUAAACAUAGACACAAACUCAUAUUAGGUUUAUUGGAAUCUUUAGAUUACUAGUCUGUUUUUCAAAAUUUUAUAGUUUUUUAACAAAGUUAGUGUGUAUAACAAGUUUUAGAAGCAUAAGCUCUAGGUAACUCAUGUCUCUAUUGACAAAUAAACACAAGAGUAUUAGAAUCAAGACUCUAAUCUAAAAAAAUAAUAUACUUUGAUAUUAAAAGCCUUCAACCGAAACGACCUCACUUCAAGACUACUUGUUGAUUUUUACUUAAACCAAAUCGAAUCUCUUAAAGGUUCCAUAUUAGCGAUAUAAUUAAGAGAGAGUUUAUCUUCAAAGAAAACUUAAUUGCAAAUAUCGUAACUAAAAAGUAUGUUACCUAGUUUCCAAACCGCAAUAACCAACACCAUUUUUCUUACUUUCAAUUAAAGAGACUAAUUUGAUUAGACAAUAUUCAAUUGGAACCAAUGAAUCAAGAAUCAGACAAAACUAGAUUAACAAGUAACUAACUAUAUAUAAUCAUAUAAAUUUUAUUUGUUCAUGAUUAUAUAUCUUAUAACCAUGAUUUUAAAUUGGGAUUACAAUCGCGAAUGCAGUUACAAGUGUUGUGAGUGAUGUCAUUGCAGUUGUUGCGGCUUGUAUUACAGACGUUGCAACAUGAAUUUUGAUAAGGAGGAUCUUGAAAUACAUAGUUGAACGUAUCUAUAUGAAUAUAGGUAAAUUGAAAACAUGAUUUUAAAUGACACAACAAAUUUGAUGCGGUUGUGGAGGUUAAUGUAUCAACAAUAUUAAAAUCGCGGUUAUAAUUUCAAACACAAUUUAAAUAGGCAUGUAGAACAAGAUUAGAGAACAAAAAAGGGAAUAUGAGCAGGGAUGACAAAACGGAUUCGGUCCGUCAAACAUUCUCAUUUUACCCACAUUUUUUGGCCGGACGAGACAAGUUUUAAGACCUGUCCUCUCUGAUAUGUUUGUCCCACCUCGCCCCAUUUUUUGCAGAUUUAGACAUUAACAUGAAAAUUUGCAAUUUUUUGACUUAAAAAUUGUGAUGCUUGCGGGUCUGUUUCUCCCAUACUCUUUUUUUUCUUCGGAGCAGCAUAAGAUUUUAGACUCGCACAUUCAAUAAAGCUCGCCCCAACCCACUCCUCUCCACCCCACCCCAUUUUUUGUGAGUUCUUACGAGAUGGACAAACUCGUUUAUCACCCCUAAACAUCAGAGACAACUAUUAUGUCAAAUAAAUAAAUAUGCUAUAGAUAAGGUUUUCUCGACCUUUAACAUUGUCCAAAAACAAAAAGUCAAGAAUCAAAAAGUUCGAGGAAACUUAUUGAAGUUGUGUAACCUUAUUAUGUAAUGCAGGUAUACUCAUAUGUAAUGUUUCACCCAUAAUUAAAAUAACUAUAUAUUAUGUUUAGAAAUUUGAUUUUUACUUUGUUGAUAUCUUCUUCUUUUUUUAAGAUCAAUGGAGCUAAUUUACAAAAUGACACUAAUUAAUUUUUUUAGUUCGUCCAAGUUUUUAAGUCUUUAACUAAUUAAUUAAUUUCAUGGAGAGGGAAACUGGUUCAUCGAAACUUGUUUAAGGCAUUAAUUAAUAAUUAAUAUAAAGUAAAAUAUUUAUUUCUUUGUUUUAUUGUUACAAAAUAAAUUUUAUACAAUUUGAAUAUUAUAAUAAUUUAUUUAAAAAAUAAAAGAUAGUUUUUUCAAUGAAAAUAUAAAGAUAAUUUAUUUCUUCAAAAAUAAUUAUUAUUUCUAAAAAAAAAUUGAAAUACAGUUUGUGACCAAAACAUUUCAACUCAAAUUUCAUAAAUGACAAUUUUGUAAUUGAUUAUAUAGAAAAUUCCUAUCAAAAUCAAAACUGAUUACUUUUGUGAGGGUUUUUGUGUGACCGAAAUUUUGUGACAUCUUUGUCUUAUCACAAAUUUCAUCAUUAAUAUUAUUGUUUUUUAAUUUUAUAAAAGACAUAAUAUUCCUUCUCUAUUUUUUUUCAUAUAUUGUGAAGAAUUUUGUUUCCUCCCUAAUUUUCGUCACCAAUUUGCAUUUUUAUAAUAGUGGGAGGCUCAAAAUCCAUCUAAAAGAAUUCCAAUAAAAACUUUGACAAUUAAAUACAUAGAGAAAAUAAUUCUUAAUAGUUUUAUUCAUUUAAAAUGAUAUCAAAUGAUAAAUGAGUACAUUAGUCAAUUAUAUUGACUUUGGUUAUACAAAUUUUAUUUUAUUAAUCACAGACAUAGUUAUUGCAGUAAAUUUUAACAUUCUUAAAUUACAUCUUUUUUUAAUUUUUUAAUAGAUAUAUAAUUAUAAUUAUAUGCUAAAAAAUAUGAAAACACAUAAUUAAAAAGAAAUAUUAAAUGAUGAAACCACCUGGAGUUGGUUUAGGUUCAAAUUUCGUUAACCGCAAAUUGCAAAUUAUUUGCAUGUUCUGUCUAAUCAAUUAUGAGCAUUGCUUUAAGUUUAAAGUUUAGAUAGAAGACAACCUCAUAAACAGAUCAAUGUUGUUUUAAAUAAUCUAAUUAAUAUUAAUUUUUACCUUAUUUUAUUUUAUAAUCAUUAAAAAAGAAAAAUACUCAAAUUACCAGGUGAAUACAUAAAUAUUAAAUGACAAUUUAUCAAAUAUUUUCAUAACAUUUAUGCCCAAUCUUUAGUAUGAAAGUAAAUACAUAAUCAUUAAGGAACUUAAUCUAUCAGGAGUUUAACACGUUUACAUCGUUUAUUAACACAAAUUGCUUUAUAUGAUUUCCAACAAAAAAGAAUUGAACAAUCAGAAUCUUGUAAACAUGUUAUAUGUUUAGGUGCUGUAAAAGAAGAACAAAAUAAGUUAAAUGAAGUAUGAUAAAAUAAUAUGUACAAUUUUGGAAUGAAAUAUAUAAAGAAUAAAAAAUAGCUUACCUUCAACUAUCGGUGUAAGGAGAAAUAUGAAAACUAAUAUAAUCUUAACAUAAACAAAUUUUGAAACUAAAGCCAUUUAUUCCUUUGUACAUGUACCAAAAUCUUGUAUCAUUUUAUAAUUUAUAAAGUUCGUCCUCUCCUUGCAUCAAUGAAGUAGUUUGUAAAAAACCAUUAAUUUAAUAAUAAUAGUUAUUAAAUAUCUCUAAGUACUUCAAUAUAUA
rnacentral:lncRNA from 1 species